UUGUGUUAAGGAUUGUAGUGGCAUCCUUUUCUUUUUGAUAGAUGCUUCGACAUACUCUGCAUAACAAAAAAGAAAAGAUAUAGCGAAAAGCCUGACUUUUG
rnacentral:sRNA from 1 species